CCCUUCACAUCGGGAUAACCUCGGGAAACCGAAGCUAAUACCGGAUACGACCAUCGAUGGCAUCAUCUGAUGGUAGAAAGUUCCGGCGGUGAAGGAUGAGCUCGCGGCCUAUCAGCUUGUUGGUGGGGUAAUGGCCCACCAAGGCAACGACGGGUAGCCGGCCUGAGAGGGUGACCGGCCACACUGGGACUGAGACACGGCCCAGACUCCUACGGGAGGCAGCAGUGGGGAAUAUUGGACAAUGGGCGAAAGCCUGAUCCAGCAACGCCGCGUGAGGGAUGACGGCCUUCGGGUUGUAAACCUCUUUCAGCAGGGACGAAGCGCAAGUGACGGUACCUGCAGAAGAAGCACCGGCCAACUACGUGCCAGCAGCCGCGGUAAUACGUAGGGUGCAAGCGUUGUCCGGAAUUAUUGGGCGUAAAGAGCUCGUAGGCGGUCCAUCGCGUCGGGAGUGAAAAGCUGGGGCUUAACCCCAGUCCUGCUUCCGAUACGGGUGGACUAGAGGUAGGUAGGGGAGAUCGGAAUUCCUGGUGUAGCGGUGAAAUGCGCAGAUAUCAGGAGGAACACCGGUGGCGAAGGCGGAUCUCUGGGCCUUACCUGACGCUGAGGAGCGAAAGCAUGGGGAGCAAACAGGAUUAGAUACCCUGGUAGUCCAUGCCGUAAACGUUGGGCGCUAGGUGUGAGGGACAUUCCACGUCCUUCGUGCCGCAGCUAACGCAUUAAGCGCCCCGCCUGGGGAGUACGGCCGCAAGGCUAAAACUCAAAGGAAUUGACGGAAUCGAAUU
rnacentral:rRNA from 1 species